AUUCGAUUUCCGGUUGAUCCUGCCAGAGGCGACCGCUAUUGGAGUUCGAUUAAGCCAUGCGAGUCGAGAGUCUUAGGGACUCGGCAUACUGCUCAGUAACACGUGGAUAACCUGCCCUGUGCUGGAGGAUAACCUCGGGAAACUGAGAAUAAUACUCCAUAGACCACUCUGCCUGGAAUGGUUUGUGGUUCAAAGCUCCGGCGGCACAGGAUGGGUCUGCGGCGUAUCAGGUUGUAGGGGGUGUAAAGGACCCUCUAGCCAUUGACGCGUACGGGUUGUGGGAGCAAUCGCCCGGAGAUGGAUUCUGAGACACGAAUCCAGACCCUACGGGGUGCAGCAGGCGCGGAAACUUCACACUGCGGGAAACCGUGAUGAGGGAACUCCAAGUGUUUGCACUAUGUGCAAUCUUUUCUUGACUUUUAAUAGGUCUUGGUAAUAAGGGGUGGGAAAGACCGGUGCCAGCCGCCGCGGUAAUACCGGCACCCCAAGUGGUCGUCGCUUUU
rnacentral:rRNA from 1 species